AUUGAACGCUGGCGGCAGGCCUAACACAUGCAAGUCGAACGAGUGGCGGACGGGUGAGUAAUGUCUGGGAAACUGCCUGAUGGAUGGGGAUAACUACUGGAACCGGUAGCUAAUACCGCAUACCAUCAGCUGUGCCCAGAUGGGAUUAGCUUGUUGGUGGUGUAACGGCUCACCAAGGCGACGCUCCCUAGCUGGUCUGAGAGGAUGACCAGCCACACUGGAACUGAGACACGGUCCAGACUCCUACGGGAGGCAGCAGUGGGGAAGAUUGCACAAUGGGCGCAAGCCUGAUGCAGCCAUGCCGCGUGUAUGAAGAAGGCCUUCGGGUUGUAAAGUACUUUCAGCGGGGAGGCGGUACCCGCAGAAGAAGCACCGGCUAACUACGUGCCAGCAGCCGCGGUAAUUC
rnacentral:rRNA from 1 species